GACGAACGCUGGCGGCGUGCUUAACACAUGCAAGUCGAGCGGUAAGGCCCUUUCGGGGUACACGAGCGGCGAACGGGUGAGUAACACGUGGGUGACCUGCCCUCAGCUCUGGGAUAAGCCUGGGAAACCGGGUCUAAUACUGGAUAUGACUCCAUGACGCAUGUUGUGGGGUGGAAAGCCUUGUGCGGCUGAGGAUGGGCCCGCGGCCUAUCAGCUUGUUGGUGGGGUGAUGGCCUACCAAGGCGACGACGGGUAGCCGGCCUGAGAGGGCGACCGGCCACACUGGAACUGAAACACGGUCCAGACUCCUACGGGAGGCAGCAGGUGGGGAAUUUUGCGGCAAGUGGGGGAAACCCUGACGCAGCAACGCCGCGUGGAA
rnacentral:rRNA from 1 species